GAAAUGUGGCAAUCCUUCAGAUUUUUGCUCUUGUUUGCCACUUGGGGCAUUGGUGGUUAUGGCUGAUAAAUACAACAAAGCGGAAAUGUCAUAUACUUGACCCGCUACACAAAAAAACUCCAAGCGAUGAGAGAAAGAAGGUUAAUAAAUUCACUGGAUGUGUAUUUUCAAGAUUGAUAACAUAUGUCGGCGGGGAACCUCUGCAGAAAGGGGAGAACGAGAAGAAAAUUAAAGCAUCAUAUGUUAAAAUAUCAGGCUAAAAAACAAGCUAUGACUGCGCUAUCUACGUUAUGAAGUGGAUGGAGUUAAUUGAGCCGGAAAACAUCAAUAAGGGGAAGUAUGAAUGGGAUAAUUGGCCACAGGAGGAGGUGGACCACUAUAGAGUGGAGUAUGCUUCCCGGAUACUAUUCAGUGAGAUGAAUAAAGAAAGAGAUCGGGCAAUUAGGGAGAGUAGUGCUAUAAGGCUGUCGAAGCCAUCCUCUGUAUUAUUGAGUCCGUUUUGUCAGAUUAAUUCUGCUGAUAUAGAAACUGCGUAAUCCAACUGCUGGGUAGUUUGUAAA